rfam:Oryza sativa (indica cultivar-group) chromosome 3, whole genome shotgun sequence.
AAUAAGUGUAGCCAUGAGUUUCCACGCCCAACUUUGAUCGUCCGUAUUAUUUGAAAUUUUUUUAUAAUUAGCAUUUUUAUUGUUAUGAGAUGAUAAAAUAUAAAUAGUACUUUACUCGUGACUUAUAUUUUUAAUUUUUUUCAAAAAAUUUUCAAAUAAGACGAAAGGUCAAAAUUAGACACGAAAAAUCAUAGCUACACUUAUU